GCUACUUUUCGGUCCGAAGAAGGGCUGUUGUUGUGGGCUGGCGAUCGAAGAGAUUGUCUUCGGCCGUCCCGCGACCAAAGAGGUCGGGAUAAGGCCGAACGGGCCUUCUCCUUCUCUCGAUUCCCAGUUCUUUCUGUGUCGUUGCUCUACGUUUCUCUGGCCACCCCGCGCCGAUCUCCUCCUUUUCCAUCCAUUUUUGCAUCCAAACCGCAGAAAGAGUAGAUCGUAGCCAUCCCCGUCGGCCUACGGUCAUUUUUUCCCUAUGGGAUAGUUUUUUUGCGUACAAAUGAGGAGGAGCCACCGUGGGGUGGAGGUCGUUCAGCUCGGGAGGAGGUGGUGGUGAGGAGGAGGUGCGGCUUGGGGGGUAGCCGGAGUCCAACCUCCGGGAGCCGAGAGGGCGGCAGUGGUGUUGUCUGGUGGUGCAGAUACUCCGCGAGGUGGCCAAUGCCGCUGAGUUGAAGAAAGGAGAAAGAAGCAGGGACACACGCGUCGAAGGUGAAAAUGUCUGAAUCAGUCAAUUUGACUGUUUACUAUGGCCCUGGUAAUAUUCGAUAUAAUAAGUUGGGGGUUGAUCUUCGCGAGUAUAAAAAUGGUGUCAUGACACUUUCAAACCCGGACAGGCUGGACGUUAGACAGUUGAAGUACUGGUUGACUACUAGUUUUCGGCUGGAUCCUGAAGUAUGUUCAGUCAGUAUUCAUGCAUUGUGAACCAAAUCAUGUAAACAUGUCAAAUGGGAGUUGAUACUGGUAGAUAGGAGCCAGCAAUGGUUAACCCUGUUAAGGCGUUGCAGAGAUCGAAGAAUACACCCAUAUGCCCUAGUGCAACCUGUGGCGAAGGAGGAAAAUACCGUACAACUUCACGAGGGGUAUGCACCCGGACAAGGCAGUCAAGUGGCUAACGAGAUUUAUUUAUCCGGGUCACAGCUAGUGGAUGUGGAUGCUAGCCAAUCCAAGAAAGAGUCAAAUUACGUGCAACACAAUGUGUGUGGUCAUGAUGCUGGGCAGAGUAGUCAGUCGAUAAUAUUAGCUUGUUCUGGAUUUGCUGAUGGGGAUGAGGAAGGGAAGGAAAUGCAGAGGGUGACGGAGGAAGAGGACGAUGAUGGAUUGGCGGAGAGUCUGGAUUCUAAAAAUUCCGAGGAUGAAAAGGAGGUACCGAUUCCUUCUGCAUGGGAUCAGGACAUAUCAACCAGCCUUACGAUCAAUGAUGGCCAUGAGACUCCAUGGCAGUAUAAUCUGAACCAAGUUCAGAUAGGGGCUAUGUAUGGUACAAAGGAAAAAUUGAAGUAUGCAGUGAGAAAGUGGGCUAUGUCUACGCAGAAGGUUUUUCGGACACACAUAUCAAGUCCAACAACCUAUACCGUGAAAUGUGUAGAAACAAGUUGUCCUGGGAAGGUGCACGGGCACGUGCCGAAAUAUAACAUCCACUGGGUUGUCACCGAUAUCGUCCCACAUAAUUGUGUGAGGAAAAACCUUCUGGUGAAUCAUCCAAACCUCACUUCACCGCCAUCACCAAAGCAGGAGACACAGACAGUGACAGACGAGGUUAUCUAUGGUCGUGGUUAUCGUGAGCCUCGCCCACCGCCUCAGCGUUUAUCACCUUCCGGUCCUCGUCCGAGGAAGACCCAGAUUCGUCGUCGUCCCCAGCAGUGAUAUGGUUAUCUAUGUAUGACACAUAUGUCCAUCCAUGUUAGUUUCAGACUUUUCUCAUGUGUUAGUCAUUAUCUAUGUAUGAGACAUGGUACAUGUAUGUGUUAUUAUUGUAUUUGCUUCUAUCUGAUCAGGAGACA